rnacentral:rRNA from 1 species
GACGAACGCUGGCGGCGUGCUUAACACAUGCAAGUCGAACGGAAAGGCCCUGCUUUUGUGGGGUGCUCGAGUGGCGAACGGGUGAGUAACACGUGAGUAACCUGCCCUUGACUUUGGGAUAACUUCAGGAAACUGGGGCUAAUACCGGAUAGGAGCUCCUGCUGCAUGGUGGGGGUUGGAAAGUUUCGGCGGUUGGGGAUGGACUCGCGGCUUAUCAGCUUGUUGGUGGGGUAGUGGCUUACCAAGGCUUUGACGGGUAGCCGGCCUGAGAGGGUGACCGGCCACAUUGGGACUGAGAUACGGCCCAGACUCCUACGGGAGGCAGCAGUGGGGAAUAUUGCACAAUGGGCGGAAGCCUGAUGCAGCAACGCCGCGUGCGGGAUGACGGCCUUCGGGUUGUAAACCGCUUUCGCCUGUGACGAAGCGUGAGUGACGGUAAUGGGUAAAGAAGCACCGGCUAACUACGUGCCAGCAGCCGCGGUGAUACGUAGGGUGCAAGCGUUGUCCGGAUUUAUUGGGCGUAAAGGGCUCGUAGGUGGUUGAUCGCGUCGGAAGUGUAAUCUUGGGGCUUAACCCUGAGCGUGCUUUCGAUACGGGUUGACUUGAGGAAGGUAGGGGAGAAUGGAAUUCCUGGUGGAGCGGUGGAAUGCGCAGAUAUCAGGAGGAACACCAGUGGCGAAGGCGGUUCUCUGGGCCUUUCCUGACGCUGAGGAGCGAAAGCGUGGGGAGCGAACAGGCUUAGAUACCCUGGUAGUCCACGCUGUAAACGGUGGGUACUAGGUGUGGGGUCCAUUCCACGGGUUCCGUGCCGUAGCUAACGCUUUAAGUACCCCGCCUGGGGAGUACGGCCGCAAGGCUAAAACUCAAAGGAAUUGACGGGGCCCCGCACAAGCGGCGGAGCAUGCGGAUUAAUUCGAUGCAACGCGUAGAACCUUACCUGGGUUUGACAUGGAUCGGGAGCGCUCAGAGAUGGGUGUGCCUCUUUUGGGGUCGGUUCACAGGUGGUGCAUGGCUGUCGUCAGCUCGCGCCGUGAGAUGUUGGGUUAAGUCCCGCAACGGGCGCAACCCUUGUUCACUGUUGCCAGCACGUUAUGGUGGGGACUCAGUGGAGACCGCCGGGGUCAACUCGGAGGAAGGUGGGGAUGACGUCAAGUCAUCAUGCCCCUUAUGUCCAGGGCUUCACGCAUGCUACAAUGGCUGGUACAGAGAGUGGCGAGCCUGUGAGGGUGAGCGAAUCUCGGAAAGCCGGUCUCAGUUCGGAUUGGGGUCUGCAACUCGACCUCAUGAAGUCGGAGUCGCUAGUAAUCGCAGAUCAGCAACGCUGCGGUGAAUACGUUCCCGGGGCU